AGGACCUUUGCUACUAUAAAAUCAUGAUGAAGUGUGUGACCAUCUCAUCUAAAAGCUUAAUUAUAUAAGUUAAUAGAGAGGACACACUUUUUAUUUAUUUAAUUAUGUCUCAACACUUAACAAUGAAAUUUCUUACUUCAUUAAAAAAAACACGAUAACUUCAUUCACGUACAGAAAAUUGGAGAUUGUUCACUAAUAUGAGUCAAUCAACUUCCUUGGCAACUAAACAUCAGUUACAAUUUUCACCCAUCUUGAAUAAGCAAAACUAAACCUUGUGCACAGAAGGUAGGGCAACCUGGAACUCCUCACACUAAGCCACCCAUAUGCAACAAUGCGCUCUAAGCAUUGAAGCUUAUUACGAAGCCAACUCUUUCGCACUGAGAUAAAUGUAAUCUUUUCUACACAUCAUAGCAAAAAUUAGUCAACUUCUUUCUCUUUCUCUUUUGCCCUCAUUGAGGGAAAUAACUAUCUCCGCAAGUUUUAGUCAUCAUCAACAAUCAAUUCAUGCCAUUUAGCACAUUAUAACUCUUAAUAAGAAAAGAAAUCUGAUAUCCCAAAAAACAUAAAUCAACCAUCAAAAUGAGGAUUUCCAACUAUUCAAAGAUAUAAAUUAAUAUAAAAGAACACCAAAAUAACAAGAAAACGACUCAUAUCAUUGAUCAAUCAAGAUGAAAAGUGGACCUCAGAAGUUGAAUCUGAAACUUUAAUGCUUAGACUGCAUUGAAAUUCAUAAGCGACAAGAUCACGAACAAGACCUCGACGGAAACCUUCAAACUCGAAUGGAUCUGCUCGGAGUUCUCUCAAGCGAGAGAGAAGGAAAGUCGAGAGGAGCAGAUUUUACUUUUUAUAGUGUCAAAUCCAUAUAUGAUCUUUCUUUGAAAACAAACCAAAAGGUUGAGCAACGUUCAUAAAGAGAGGGUCACUGGUUUUCAUGGAGUUUCACCGGAUUUCAUAGUAUUUCCGGCAAGUCUCUGUCUUCCCUGUUCCAGAUUUCUCAACCCUUUUUCUGCUUAAUUUAGUCUGUGGCCGCUGUUGGUUGUUUGGAAUCAGGGGAUAGGCAGCUGUGUGUUUGGAGGAAGUUCUCGGUAGGUUUCUUGUUUGUCGCGGCUGUUGAUGUUGAAGAGAGUGUUGUUAGGCGUUGAAGAAAGGGGUAGAGAUUAAAGGGGAUGGCUGUUUGGCUCAGGUUGGAGUGUUGGUGGAGUGGUAUUUGUGUUAUGAAGUUGAAGGAAGAAGAAUGACGGGGAAGGGGGGUCUCAAUUGAAAAAGAGGACGACAAGGGAGGGUCUGUCCUUUUGUCAAAAAUGGUGGAUCCAUCUCUUAGGGUCUAGGUUCUGUAUAGGCCUAGAUAUAGGGUUAUUGAAGGGUUAUUUUAGG
rnacentral:lncRNA from 1 species